rnacentral:rRNA from 1 species
AACGAACGCUGGCGGCAUGCCUAACACAUGCAAGUCGAACGAGGCCUUCGGGUCUAGUGGCGCACGGGUGCGUAACGCGUGGGAACCUGCCCUUAGGUUCGGAAUAACUCCCCGAAAGGGGUGCUAAUACCGGAUAAUGUCUUCGGACCAAAGAUUUAUCGCCUUUGGAUGGGCCCGCGUUGGAUUAGCUAGUUGGUAGGGUAAAAGCCUACCAAGGCGACGAUCCAUAGCUGGUCUGAGAGGAUGAUCAGCCACACUGGGACUGAGACACGGCCCAGACUCCUACGGGAGGCAGCAGUGGGGAAUAUUGGGCAAUGGGCGAAAGCCUGAUCCAGCAAUGCCGCGUGAGUGAUGAAGGCCUUAGGGUUGUAAAGCUCUUUUACCCGGGAUGAUAAUGACAGUACCGGGAGAAUAAGCGCCGGCUAACUCCGUG